UCAUCGAAUCUUUGAACGCACAUUGCGCCCGGUGGUAUUCCGCCGGGCAUGCCUGUUCGAGCGUCAUUAUAACCACUCAAGCCUUGGCUUGGUAUUGGGGUUCGCGGUUCCGCGGCCCUUAAAAUCAGUGGCGGUGCCGGUGGGCUCUAAGCGUAGUAAAUCUCCUCGCUAUAGGGUCCCUCCGGUUGCCUGCCAGAACCCCCCAUUUUUUCAGGUUGACCUCGGAUCAGGUAGGGAUACCCGCUGAACUUAAGCAUAUCAAUAAGCGGAGGAAAAGAAACCAACAGGGAUUACCUCAGUAACGGCGAGUGAAGCGGUAAUAGCUCAAAUUUGAAAGCUGCCAACAGGCCGCGUUGUAAUUUGUAGAAGAUGCUUUGGGGGUCGGCCUAGUCUAAGUUCCUUGGAACAGGACGUCAUAGAGGGUGAGAAUCCCGUAUGUGAUUAGUGCCGGCUCCCGUGUAAAGCUCUUUCGACGAGUCGAGUUGUUUGGGAAUGCAGCUCAAAAUGGGUGGUAUAUUUCAUCUAAAGCUAAAUAUUGGCCAGAGACCGAUAGCGCACAAGUAGAGUGAUCGAAAGAUGAAAAGCACUUUGGAAAGAGAGUUAAACAGUACGUGAAAUUGUUGAAAGGGAAGCGCUUGCAACCAGACUUGCAGGCGGUCGAUCAUCCGAGGUUCUCCCCGGUGCACUCGAUCGUCUUCAGGCCAGCAUCGGUUUUGGUGGCGGGAUAAAGGCUCUAGGAAUGUGGCUCUUCGGAGUGUUAUAGCCUAGGGUGCAAUGCCGCCUACCGGGACCGAGGACCGCGCUUCGGCUAGGAUGCUGGCGUAAUGGUUGUAAGCGGCCCGUCUUGAAACACGGACCAAGGAGUCUAACAUCUAUGCGAGUGUUUGGGUGUCAAACCCAUACGCGUAAUGAAAGUGAACGGAGGUGAGAGCCCUUUAGGGCGCAUCAUCGACCGAUCCUGAUGUCUUCGGAUGGAUUUGAGUAAGAGCAUAGCUGUUGGGACCCGAAAGAUGGUGAACUAUGCGUGAAUAGGGUGAAGCCAGAGGAAACUCUGGUGGAGGCUCGCAGCGGUUCUGACGUGCAAAUCGAUCGUCAAAUUUGCGUAUAGGGGCGAAAGACUAAUCGAACCAUCUAGUAGCUGGUUCCUGCCGAAGUUUCCCUCAGGAUAGCAGUGUUGUUUUCAGUUUUAUGAGGUAAAGCGAAUGAUUAGAGGCCUUGGGGUUGAAACAACCUUAACCUAUUCUCAAACUUUAAAUAUGUAAGAAGUCCUUGUUGCUUAA
rnacentral:rRNA from 1 species